rnacentral:lncRNA from 1 species
UUAUAUCUCGAUCGCUUUAGUUGUAUGAACCCGAAUUUUAUUUUGGGAAGAAACUAUUUCGAUCAAUAAAAUUGUAAAACCAGUAAAUUUCUGUGUCAUGGUCGUAAAGUUUUUCUUUUUUUUUUCAAAUGAAUAAAAGACCUCUUCAUUUGCUUUACGGGUUUGUACAUAGUUUUUUGUUUGUGUCACGCGUGCUUACAUAUUAUUCUAUUUGAGGUAAAGGUUCUAUGUACCUGGCGUUGGUUUUCUUAAACAAUAUAUUUCGU